rnacentral:rRNA from 1 species
AGUGAACGCUGGCGGUAGGCCUAACACAUGCAAGUCGAACGGCAGCACAGUAAGAGCUUGCUCUUACGGGUGGCGAGUGGCGGACGGGUGAGGAAUACAUCGGAAUCUACUUUUUCGUGGGGGAUAACGUAGGGAAACUUACGCUAAUACCGCAUACGACCUACGGGUGAAAGCAGGGGAUCUUCGGACCUUGCGCGAUUGAAUGAGCCGAUGUCGGAUUAGCUAGUUGGCGGGGUAAAGGCCCACCAAGGCGACGAUCCGUAGCUGGUCUGAGAGGAUGAUCAGCCACACUGGAACUGAGACACGGUCCAGACUCCUACGGGAGGCAGCAGAGGGGAAUAUUGGACAAUGGGCGCAAGCCUGAUCCAGCCAUACCGCGUGGGUGAAGAAGGCCUUCGGGUUGUAAAGCCGUUUUGUUGGGAAAGAAAAGCAGCAGGUUAAUACCCCGCUGUUCUGACGGUACUCAAAGAAUAAGCACCGGCUAACUUCGUG